AGAGAGAGAGAGAGAGAAUAUGACAUUUGAAAUGUCUUUAUUAUUUUGGAACUUCUGUGAGUGUAAUGUUUACUGUUAAUUUGUAGAGAGAGAGAGAGAGACAGACAGGGCUGUGCUGCAACAACUCAGAGAGAGAGACAGACAGGGCUAGAGAGAGAGAGAGAGAGAGAGAGAGACAUGGCUGUGCUGCAACAACUCAGAGUGAGAGAGAGAGACUUUUCUCUCGACCUCUUUUCUCUCCGCAUCUUUCUCUCCCACGCUCCCGAGUAGAGGGCAGACUCUUCAGCUACCUGGGACCCUCCACUACUCCCCAGCUGCAGGGAGGUCAUAGAUGGAUUGUGAUGACCUCAU
ensembl:lncRNA